rnacentral:rRNA from 1 species
UACGGAGGAUCCAAGCGUUAUCCGGAAUUACUGGGCGUAAAGAGUUGCGUAGGUGGCACUGUAAGUCGGUAGUGAAAGCGUGGGGCUCAACCCCAUACACAUUAUCGAAACUGCAGAGCUAGAGGACAAGAGAGGUUAUUGGAAUUCCUAGUGUAGGAGUGAAAUCCGUAGAUAUUAGGAGGAACACCGAUGGCGUAGGCAGAUAACUGGCUUGUUCCUGACACUAAGGCACGAAAGCGUGGGUAGCAAACGGG